GCGGUGGUCGGCGUCGCCUGUGGGCGGCCGGAGGGACCGGAGGACGUGCUGGCCGCGGUGGGGCCGCCGGGGCAGCGCGGUGACCCUGCGAACUUUUGGGGGAGUUUGCGGCCGGCGUAGGCGAGGCCGGAAGCCGACCCUUCCCACCUCCGCCUCCCAGGUUGGUUCCGGCGGCGGCGGCGGCUCCAGGACCAGCUGCGGGGCCCUGUGUCCCUGGCUUUGUGGAAGGCCCCGCCCGGCGCUGCUGCUCCUGCCAUUUUGUGGCCAGCCCCGGGAGUAGGAUCGGACGACGGUGUCCAUCUGGGGUCAUCAAAAGCGAUCAAAACACCUUUCGUAUGUGCAGCGGGGACAGCCAGGCCUGCCCGGAGCUUGCGGAGAGCCUAGAGGCUUGGAGAUGCGGGGUCCCUUCCGGCGGCUUCCUGCCGGGGCCGCCUCGGUCCGCCGCCGUGUUUGCAGAGUGCACGACCUGGGUCGCCGCGUCGCGGUGAUCAGCAUCCCGGGCGGUGAUCAGCAUCCCGGCCGCAGCGCACACUGGGGUCCAGCCGGCGUUCUGGGUCCUUGCUCCCGCCCUUGGUGUCCUGUAUCCCUUUGUUUUCUCAAGCCCACUUACUGCACGUGCCGUUGAGCUGGGGCUGCGUCCACAGUGAAGCCCAGAUACCGUGGCGACCUUUGGCGAGCCUGCAGAGGGCUUUGGCAGCGCGCUCCUACGGAGGGGUCACAAUCACUAGAAGCCGUGCUUAGGGCGUUCGGGCCCCAACACUGUGCUUCCUUGUCUUCCACGUUCUUACCUCUUACUCUCCCUCACUCAUUUUAUUUUAUUUUAUUUUUUUGUUCGUUGAACACAACCUGCGCUUUGCUUUUUCCACGCUUCGGCAUGAAGCAGUUCCCUCCAACUGGAGUGCCAUCUGCUUCCCUACCCAGCAGCCUUUCGAGGGUGUGAAGGCUGUUGGCAUGGUGUCCUAUCUAGAGAUGCCGCACAAGGCACCCAAACUCAUUCAAGAAGCGUUGAGGGCCUGUCAUGUGCACAGCCCUGCUCCGGGUGCUCCCGGAUACAGCAGUGAAAAAAAAAUCAGUGUUCCCUCUGAUGGAGCUCAUGUCCGUGAGAGUGGGAGAAGACAAACAAUAAGCAAUACAUGCGAAUGACUCUAUGUGCCAGGGGGUAAUAUGUACCAUACACGAAAGCAGAACGAUGAGAGGAGAUGGAGAAUAACAGGGAGAGGAGAAAACCCGAGUGAGAUGACGGGACAAGUCAUCUAGAAAAUGAGAGGACGAGAUUUUAGAUGAACAAGCCACAAAGAAGGCCCCUGAAGCAGGCAUGUGUUUCCUCCAUCAAAGUAACAGCAAGGAAGGCUGCCUUGAGGGGAGUAGAGUAGAAGGAUGCAAAAUGGGAGAAGUAAUGGGUCAGAUCAUGUGCACACACGCAUCAGACAUUCAAUAAAUGCUCCUGAAUCAAAUUUAUUGAAUUGAAAAGGGACUGAGAAUAAUCUAAUGAUAGUAACAAUCAAACCUGGAAAUUGCUGGAGUGGGAUAGACCUCAGGCAUAUAUUAGAUAUUCGCAACUUACAUGAGUAUAUAUUGGAACUCUUAUUUCGUGGGACGGCAUUUAACCAAAAAAAAUUUCAGUGAAAACCGAUGGUGUAUGCAGUGGUCUUCCAUUAUAAUGGAAAUCUGGAAGAAAGGCAGAUUUUGUAGAGGAUGAAAUGGAUUAGUGUGUGAUUGGAAUCAUUUGGUAGAUAUUGAUCAGAAUUUAAAAGUCCAGAAGGAAAUGAAAUCCUCCUUCUGAUGUUGUCUUUCUUUUGAUUUAGAGGGAAAAAUACUUGUACGUUAACCGACAAAAGUUGAGUUUGUGAAAUAAUUGGAUAAAUUUGUAUAUUUGUUCAUGAUAAAAGCACUAUUUCUCCAGGGCUAAGGAGAAUGCUAGGGACAGGGGCCACAGGCCGAAGCUGACUUUCAGCAGAAAGUCAUAAGCUUCAAGACAACAUUGCUUGUUGGGGUGAGUUUUAUCUUUGAUCACAGUUGUCACUUGCAGUCCAAAGAACAUUCCCCCCAACUGACCUAUGGCAACUCUCCAGUGGAAUUUCAAAGUAUAAAACACUUGUUUACUUAAUAAUUUUUGUUUACAUGGCCUUAAAUUUUAAAAAGUCCAUCUAACUUCCUCCAAAAAGUGGCUACUAUUGAUUGCACUCUUCAUCACAUUUCUCAAAGUUGAGAUUGACUGUCAGUUUAUUGGCAAUCAUUCACAUAGAUGAGCUCAAAUGUGGUUUCCGAUUCAGCUCUCAAACCACUACUUCGGCAGUCUCAGGCUCCGCUGCUGAGUCAACAGAUCUUUUUAUUCAUUCACAGGAAUGAGUAGCUCCUGAGUUAGUCAUCACUCUUGGCAUGAUGUUAAGGUAACCUUGGAGUGAGAACAGUAGGAGUCCGGCCCUGGCUUCUUUCCCUAACUGCAGCUGUCCAUUGUGCUGAGAAAAUACACUGUCUUGAUUCCAGCCUGGCUGGGCUUAAGCCCAGCUCUGCCCCCAUGUUAGCUAGAUGAUCCUGAGCAAAUUAACUUGACGUUCAUGCUUCAGGGGGCCCCUGUCUCUACAACAGGGAUAACUUUGCAGGGUUAUUCUGAGGUUUAAAGGAGUUAACAGAGAUGAAGCUAGAAUAGUGACCCAUAGUAGACACUGAUGCUGUCAUUAACACUUGGCUUGGUCACUUGAAUUCUCUCAGUUUCUGUUUAACAUUAGAAGACUAAAUGAUACUUCUUGCCUUGUAGAAUUGCUAAAAGGCUAAAUAUUUAGUGUGCUGAGUCCAACAAAAUCUGCAAUGCAGGAAGCAAUCAGUAAGUAUUAGCUGUUAUUAAGUAUUAGAAAACAUUUGUCAAUAUCGCAAUCUGUUUAAAUUCAUCAAUGAAGAGCCCAUAGGAGAGGAACAUGGAAAGUGAUAGACUGUAAAAAGUGUCUCAUCUUGAUGGGGAUGAUGAGGGAUACAAAUUGUAUCGAUAGAGCUUUUUUUUUUUUUUUUAAUUUAUGAUAGUCACACAACAGAGAGAGAGAGAGAGGCAGAGACACAGGCAGAGGGAGAAGCAGGCUCUAUGCACCAGGAGCCCAACGUGGGAUUCGAUCCCGGGUCUCCAGGAUCGCGCCCUGGGCCAAAGGCAGGCGCUAAACCGCUGCACCACCCAGGGAUCCCUCGAUAGAGCUUUUACCAUAAAGUGCGGUGACAGGAUCCACAUAAGGAUUCAAAAGAAGAAAGAAUUGAAGAUUAAGAGCAAAUUCCCAGAGCUAAAACUAAGUAAUGAGUCUAUCUGUCUCAACACAAGACAUGAAAGGCAGCAAGGAGGCUAGAGUACAGGGGUUGUGAUCCUGGGGUCUGCAGAAGCCCAAGGGGCACAAAUAAAAAUCAGGGGUCUGUGAACCUGGUUGGGGAAAAUGAUAUCUUUUAUUUUCACUAACCUCUAGCAGACAUCUAGUAUCUCCUACAAUCUUGAAUUUAAAAACCCACAGUGCAUAGCUAGAGACACAAUACCUGUGAUAUCACACCAGUAGAAAUCAGUUCACAUUAUAGUUAUUGCAGGCAUCCCAAAAUACCAUUUACACUCAUGAUUGAUUUGAAAUUAUGACAGGUAUGUGUUAAUGAUGAAGUCCAUAUAUUACCACAUUGCAAGAUGGCUUUUUAAAUAUUUGGUGAGUAGAUUUCAAAACAAUUCAUUUCCUCUGUAAUCCUUUGUGUUGUAUUUUACAAAACUACGAAUAUUAUUCUUUGAGGAGUAAAUAUAGCAUCUACAGGAUGGAAGGGUAUAGUGCACAGAAAGGUUAAGAGUCUUUGUCGAGAGCAUGGGCUCCAGAGUCAACCAGCCAGGGGUGAACCCUUCCUCUGCUUCUGACCAGCCAGGUGAUACUGGACAGGCUACUGGGUUCUCUGUGCCCCCGUUUUCUCAUCUGUAAAGUAAGGAUGAAGGCUGUUGGAAGGUAUCAUUGGGGAAACUAUGGAAACACAUAGAAUAGUGCCUUGCAGGGAGUAAACCCUCAGUAAAUGUUAGCCAUCAACAGAAAACCAUCUUCAGUGAGACUCAAGGAAGGAAAUGAUACAGCUUAUUCGGGGGUACACACACCAGAAUGAUUUCCCAAGGGAGAGAGAGAGAGAAAGAAAAGGUUAGGUCAUGAAGAGAUAGGCAGACUAGGAGACUGGAGUUAACAAAUUCAUCCAUUCAUUUACUCAUUCAUUCAUUCAAUAAAGGUUUCUUGAGUGCCUGCUACGUGCCUCUCAACACUUGCACUAACUCUUGUGGGGUCUGGAACAGGUGUAGAAAUGGAACUCACAUACCAUAUGUCUAAAUAUUUAAAAGUGGCAAAUCAAGCCAAAGAUGUGUUAGAUGUGUUCUAUUUUUCUACUCCGACAGAGAUGUGUUCAAAAUAGCAAAAUAAAAAUAUUGUUUUUAUAUCA